rnacentral:rRNA from 1 species
ACGAACGCUGGCGGCGUGCCUAAUGCAUGCAAGUCGAACGAGGUCCAACCAGUGGCAACACUGGGGAAGACCUAGUGGCGAACGGGUGAGUAACACGUGAGGAACCUGCCCCGAAGACCGGGAUAACCCUCCGAAAGGAGAGCUAAUACCGGAUGUCCCCACCGAGUCGCAUGGCUUGGUGAGGAAAUGCUUUUGUGCUUCGGGAGGGCCUCGCGGCCUAUCAGCUUGUUGGUGGGGUAACGGCCUACCAAGGCGUCGACGGGUAGCUGGUCUGAGAGGACGAUCAGCCACACUGGGACUGAGACACGGCCCAGACUCCUACGGGAGGCAGCAGCAGGGAAUCUUGCGCAAUGGGCGAAAGCCUGACGCAGCAACGCCGCGUGGGGGAUGAAGGCCCUCGGGUUGUAAACCCCUUUCAGUAGGGACGAAAUCAGACGGUACCUACAGAAGAAGCCCAGGCCAACUACGU